rnacentral:tRNA from 1 species
ACCUGGGUGGCUCAGUCGGUGAAGCAUCUGACUUUGGCUCAGGUCAUAAUCUCACGGUUUGUGGGUUUGAGCCCCGCAUCAGGCU